AUGCAUUAAUUCAGUAAACAGGUCCACCACCGGACAAAAUCACGAGAGCGCUCUUGAGAUUCCUCCUGGAAGUCCCCCCGAGAAUGUGGCGCCGAGGCCGGGCGAGGCGGCCGAUCUCGACCUCAUCGGGACUUCCGCGGCCGAUCGGCGGGAUGAAUCUGCCCCCUGCGGCCGGGGCUCUGGAACUUCCUCCCGGCCGGAGCCGGCAGAUCUGUUCCCAUAGCCGGCUUCCGAGGCCGACUUUGCGGGGCGGUAUCUCGGCCCCUCGGCGGCCUAGGCGGACCAUUCUGGUACCGUUGGACUCCUCUCGGAAGCCGUGACCUCUGUUGGCCCGG